rnacentral:misc_RNA from 1 species
CUACCCUCGAGCACUGCUCGGUGUUGGCGGAUUGCCUAGCAACCGCUGAAAAUCAACGGCGGUGGCCCCUAUGUCCCUGUAUAGUACUAUUCUUGCAGCGGUUAUAGCGGUCUACCAGUCUUUUGUCGUGGUCUCUCGGGACCCUCGACACUUUGAA